AUUGAACGCUGGCGGCAGGCUUAACACAUGCAAGUCGAGCGCCCCGCAAGGGGAGCGGCAGACGGGUGAGUAACGCGUGGGAAUCUACCCAGCUCUACGGAAUAACUCAGGGAAACUUGUGCUAAUACCGUAUACGUCCGAUAGGAGAAAGAUUUAUCGGAGUUGGAUGAGCCCGCGCUGGAUUAGCUAGUUGGUGGGGGAAAGGCCCACCAAGGCGACGAUCCAUAGCUGGUCUGAGAGGAUGAUCAGCCACACUGGGACUGAGACACGGCCCAGACUCCUACGGGGGGCAGCAGUGGGGAAUAUUGGACAAUGGGCGCAAGCCUGGUCCAGCCAUGCCGCGUGAGUGAUGAAGGCCCUAGGGUUGUAAAGCUCUUUCACCGGUGAAGAUAAUGACGGUAACCGGAGAAGAAGCCCCGGCUAACUUCGUGCCAGCCGCCGCAGUAAAAC
rnacentral:rRNA from 1 species